GGACCGAAAAGGCAAACCUCCUCGCCGGCGUGCUGUGGCGGGGACCCGCCAGGUAGGGUGGUGGGCGCCGCAAGGCGGGGACGCAAAGCCGCGGGCCUUACCGCCGUGUAACGUUGAACGUUAAACGUUGCACGCGGUUGGUAGCCGGGCUGCCGAA
rnacentral:ncRNA from 1 species